GCCGUGGUGGCGGAAUUGGUAUACGCGUACGACUCAGAAUCGUAUCCCGCAAGGGUUGAGAGUUCGAAUCUCUCCCACGGCA
rnacentral:tRNA from 2 species